CUCCUACGGGAGGCAGCAGUGGGGAAUAUUGCACAAUGGGGGAAACCCUGAUGCAGCGACGCCGCGUGAAGGAAGAAGUAUCUCGGUAUGUAAACUUCUAUCAGCAGGGAAGAUAGUGACGGUACCUGACUAAGAAGCCCCGGCUAACUACGUGCCAGCAGCCGCGGUAAUACGUAGGGGGCAAGCGUUAUCCGGAUUUACUGGGUGUAAAGGGAGCGUAGACGGACUGGCAAGUCUGAUGUGAAAGGCGGGGGCUCAACCCCUGGACUGCAUUGGAAACUGUUAGUCUUGAGUGCCGGAGAGGUAAGCGGAAUUCCUAGUGUAGCGGUGAAAUGCGUAGAUAUUAGGAGGAACACCAGUGGCGAAGGCGGCUUACUGGACGGUAACUGACGUUGAGGCUCGAAAGCGUGGGGAGCAAACAGGAUUAGAUACCCUGGUAGUCCACACGGUAAACGAUGAAUACUCGCUGUUUGCGAUAUACAGCAAGCGGCCAAGCGAAAGCGUUAAGUAUUCCACCUGGGGAGUACGCCGGCAACGGUGAAACUCAAAGGAAUUGACGGGGGCCCGCACAAGCGGAGGAACAUGUGGUUUAAUUCGAUGAUACGCGAGGAACCUUACCCGGGCUUAAAUUGCAGAUGAAUUACGGUGAAAGCCGUAAGCCGCAAGGCAUCUGUGAAGGUGCUGCAUGGUUGUCGUCAGCUCGUGCCGUGAGGUGUCGGCUUAAGUGCCAUAACGAGCGCAACCCUUAUCUUUAGUUACUAACAGGUCAUGCUGAGGACUCUAGAGAGACUGCCGUCGUAAGAUGUGAGGAAGGUGGGGAUGACGUCAAAUCAGCACGGCCCUUACGUCCGGGGCUACACACGUGUUACAAUGGGGGGUACAGAAGGCAGCUACCUGGUGACAGGAUGCUAAUCCCAAAAGCCUCUCUCAGUUCGGAUCGAAGUCUGCAACCCGACUUCGUGAAGCUGGAUUCGCUAGUAAUCGCGCAUCAGCCAUGGCGCGGUGAAUACGUUCCCGGGCCUUGUACACACCGC
rnacentral:rRNA from 1 species